rnacentral:lncRNA from 1 species
CUGGAGCUGGAAUUUAACUGCCUGUCCUCAUACCGUACUCUAGAGCCCCACCUAAGAGUGUCUGCAGCUCACAUUUUGAGAAACAUUAGAUGUAAUAAAACACCUUAGAAAAGUCCUUUGAGAAUCUCAAAGAAGAGCAAGGAAACUUGAGGCUGUCUCCUCCGUAUAUAAGGGGAAGAGGAAAUACCAUCAGAAGCCCUUGAAGAAGUUAGCCCUGCGGACUUGGGAUAGGUAAACACACAGAAUGGGAAGCAGUUCCAGUGCCUUCCAAGAGUUUGCAGCCUUUCCUAGCCGCUGUCACUUGGAGUCCCUGAUUGAGCCCUUCACCAUCUCUCUGGCCUUUUCUCCACCAAAGCCACUAUCCCAGGCCUCAGAGAUCCAGUAGGGUCUCUGCUUCUACUUCCUGGCUAGCAGAGACAGGAUCUCACUCGGUUACCUUGGCUGAAGUGCAGUGGUGCGAUCACAGCCUUGAACUCCUGGUCUCCAGGGAUGCUCCUGCCUCACCUUCCUGAGUAGCUGGGACUACAGGUGGGCACCACCAUGCCCAGGUAAUUUUUAUAACUUUUUUGUACAGACAGAGGUUUCUCCAUCUUACCCAGGCUGGUCUCGAUCUCCUGGGCUCAAGCAAUCUUUUUGCCUCGGCCUCCCAAAGUGCCAGGAUUACAUACCUGAGCCACUAUACCCAACCAGAAACUGCACUUUUGGAAAAGGAAAUUUACCGUCCUUCUAGGUAAAGUGACUCAGUGUUUAAUAGCUUGCAGAGGUUGACUUCCUUUGUCACCAAUUUCUCUACCAUUUGGUAUAAACAUCAACUUGGGAUAUGUCCAUCAUGAAGUUGGAAUAUGAUCUUUCAUUUGUACGAUAAGAAACACUAGUCUCUUAUGUCCCAGAAAGUUGUUACCUGCUUGCCCUUACUAUAACUUGCUCACACAAUUCUCCAUCUUCCACAUUUUCUCUUCAAUGGAAAUAAAUAUACUUCUCAUUUGGAUAGCUCAUUAAAAAAUCAAUUAAAGAGGUGAAGUUCUGUGAACAAUUGUGAGCCCUUUAGAAACAGUUGUUAUUUAAAUUCAUUCAUUUAUUCUGCAUUUUGGUAAUGUGUUUAUUAACUUGUUGGAUUCUUGUCAUUUCACCUUUUGUGAUUGGUUUAGGGAAUUUAAAGUUGUACCUAUCAUUUUAACAACUGAGGUAUUUCUAAGUCCUGGAAAUUAGAUCCCAAGUGUUGGAACCUUGAUAAUGAAAAUAAUAAUAGUAGCAGUAAUAAUGACAGUAGUAAUGAUCAUCAUAAUAAUCCUAGCAGCAAACAUUUUUUAGACUUUAUUAUGUGCUAUGGACCGUGCUAGGCACAUGUAUUGUGUCAUUUAACCUUUCAGAUCUCUGAUUUGUCUCAUGUCAGUCAAAUGGAUGUUUACUCAUGGAGUGCUGGUUUUGAAUUCAGACGAAUGUGGGUCUAAAUCCCACCUGUGCCACCUGAUUGGCUGUGUAAUGGUAGGCCAGUUACUUAACCUCCCUAUAAAGCGUGGAUAGCAAUCCCUACCUUAGGAAAUCUUUGUGAAACUAAAGUUAAACACAAAGAUGUAUAUAAAAGAUUAGGUAUGGAAUCAAAUAAUCAUCUCUUAAUAGACAAUGGCUCUAAUAAUAAUAAAUUUAUCACGUUACACAUAUCAAAACUCCUGAUAGGUACACAUAAACAAAUAGGGGUUGAAUGAGUAAAAAGAAAUUCUACCACCCAAAGGUCAAGGAGACAGCACACACAUUUUGAUUUUGAUUGAUAAUCACAAUUUGCUAACCAUUAAUAAAUGGGAUUAGGAGAGCUUACAAGGACUCUGCCUUUAACUACACCCCCAAAUGUAAGAUGGGCUGACCAUCAAUUAUUACUUCUAAGCACUUUAUUACUUUCUCACUGAGGUUUCAGUCGUUGGGUUGUGCAAGCACCACCAAUAAAAUGCAGUUUGUGGGAGGUGGGAGUUGGGAGAUAGGAAAGACACUCUUUAAAACAUACUUUGCCUAAGAUAAUUAUAAACACUGAAGAAUGAUACAGACAAAUUAACAUCAUAAUCGAUGGGAGUGGAAGACAUGGUGAUGAUUUUCCCACAAGAAAUACUUCUAUUUUGGAAUUCUCAGUGGUUUACAACUUUCUCUACCAUGGGAGUCGAUACAAUUUUCAUUUACUGACUCACUGUCCCUGGAGUCUUUUCCUCUGAAUUUUAAACAACAACAAAAAACAGAAAAUAAAGAAUGGUGGAAGAGAUGCAAAGCAAGGAAGAAAGAAAAUGAGGGGAAAAAAGGAAAUGAGAGAGAAAGAAGAAAAGGGGAGAAGAAAGGAGAGCAAAGGAAGAAGAGAAAAAAUCAGUGUGCUGUUACAGAGACUGAAAGGAUCAUAUUUUACUUUGUUCUAAUGAAGUAAAAUAAAAAUGGAAAACAUUUUGAUUUAAAGGAUCAUUGAAAAUAGCUCAAAUUUGAGUGCUAUUCAACCAGUGAGC